UUAAUAAUAAAGGUGAUAAGCAUGAUGAGAGUGAAAAGUUGAUAGUAAUAAAUAAUGAUAAGACUGUUUAUUCACCACUAACAUAUAAUAAUGGAUCUUUUAGUUCAAGCAAUGAAAUAAAAGUAAAGGAAAUUGAAAUUAAUACCAACUAUAUAUUAGAUAAAGUUAAAUAUAUUUAUAGAAAUAAUACUUAUAACAGAAUGGAAUAUGUGCAACUAUUCCGAGCCUUUUCAAAGUUAUUUUUAAUUCAUUAUGGACUAUCACAUAAAGAUUUGUUACAAUAUACAACAGGUUUGAAUUUGCAAUUUGAUGGCUUACGAGAAGAAUUAGCGUAUAGAAAGGCAUACAAAAUGUAUGCAGAAGAGUUAGCAGUUUUGUUAAAUUCUUUAGAAUACGAAUUUAAUGCAAAACACUUAGGACUUAACAAUACGGUUUUACUUACGAAAGAUCGAAAAUAUUUCCCAAACGAGGAUCACAAAAUUAGUUAUGCAUAUAUAGAUAAAGAUAACGAUCAAUUAAUACUUAGUGAUACAUAUGAGCAUUGUACAAAUCAAGUAGCAUCGGUUUCCGAAGAAUUGAACAACUAUAUAUUGAACAAAAUGAACAAAAGUGAUGAAACACAUUGUAUUGAUAGGACGAACGAAUAUAAUCAGAUCAAUCUGACAGUAACAUAUCACACAUUUAUGUUGGAUUGUAAUGUAUCGCGAUACUAUGAACAGGUGGUUCAGAAAUAUGAUCAAAUAAAACAACUUAUGUUUAAUAGAACGUUAUUUACUGACGUAUCAAUACAAUUAGAAAAUUAUAAUUGGGAUAAUUACACAUUGACUAUAAACGCAAUAACUGACAAUACUUUAAUUGAGAAAUUAUUGAAGGUUGGAUCCGAGUUUAUGAAUGCCAAUACGAUUAUAAAAAUAAAUAUUUCCGGUCGUAAGAGUGAUAGAGAACAGUCUUCGAGUUAUACGUUUGAAACAAUUUCUUUCUCACAUAGCUGUAAUAAUGAUUGUAAUAAUAACAAGUUUAUCGUUGUAAAGGAAAAUUUAGAUUAUAUAUAUAUUGAUACAAUAUGUUUUCAAAAUGAUAGUUUACCUGAUAUUUGUUUUCCUAAGUAUAAUUAUACUUACAUAUUUGAUAUGAGGUUAAUAAGACUAAACAAUACAAACAUAAACCCUUAUCCCGAAAUUUUAUUAACAGAAGAUGUGCAAAAAGAUAUUGUAGAAAUUAGUUAUUGUGUGCUUAAAAUUAAUAAUAACAUAUCUAAUUUUGAAACAAAUGAUACUAGUUACAUAAAUAAUGUGUGUAACGAUUCUAUU
rnacentral:lncRNA from 1 species